rnacentral:rRNA from 1 species
GGACGAACGCUGGCGGCGUGCUUAACACAUGCAAGUCGAACGGAUAGGCCCUGCUUUUGUGGGGUGCUCGAGUGGCGAACGGGUGAGUAACACGUGAGUAACCUGCCCUUGACUUUGGGAUAACUUCAGGAAACUGGGGCUAAUACCGGAUAGGAGCUCCUGCUGCAUGGUGGGGGUUGGAAAGUUUCGGCGGUUGGGGAUGGACUCGCGGCUUAUCAGCUUGUUGGUGGGGUAGUGGCUUACCAAGGCUUUGACGGGUAGCCGGCCUGAGAGGGUGACCGGCCACAUUGGGACUGAGAUACGGCCCAGACUCCUACGGGAGGCAGCAGUGGGGAAUAUUGCACAAUGGGCGGAAGCCUGAUGCAGCAACGCCGCGUGCGGGAUGACGGCCUUCGGGUUGUAAACCGCUUUCGCCUGUGACGAAGCGUGAGUGACGGUAAUGGGUAAAGAAGCACCGGCUAACUACGUG